GCCUUCAUGGUGUAGUGGUCAGCACACUCGACGCGUAUUCGAGAGGUCCAUGGUUCGAGUCCCGGCGAAGGCG
rnacentral:tRNA from 1 species